GGCCUCGUAGCUCAGCUGGAUAGAGCGUCCCCCUCCUAAGGGGAAGGUCGGGGGUUCGAAUCCCUCCGGGGCCACCA
rnacentral:tRNA from 1 species